rnacentral:rRNA from 1 species
GUAUCAAUAAGCAGAGGAAAAGAAACUAACAAGGAUUCCCCUAGUAACUGCAAGUGAAGCAGGAAAAGCUCAAAUUUAAAAUCUGGUGGUCUUUGGCCAUCCAAGUUGUAAUUUAGAGAAGUGUCUUCCGUGCUGGACCAUGCAUAAGUCUCCUGGAAUGGAGCAUCAUAGAGGGUGAGAAUCCUGUCUUUGGCACAGAUCCCAGGGCUUCUGUGAUGUGCUCUCAAAGAGUCAAGUUGUUUGGGAAUGCAGCUCAAAAUGGGCGGUGAACUCUAUCUAAAGCUAAAUAUUGGCGAGAGACCGAUAGCGCACAAGUA